UGCAGUCAUAUUUGAUUACUUUAUUUAUGUGUUUUUGACUUAAAUAAAUCAGUACUUGAUACAUUGCGGCUUUUUGGUCACAACAUUAUCUUUUGCAGAUAACAUAUUCUGUCACGAGAAUUUUAUUAAAAAGUUAGAAGACAACAAGAAAAAUAAAAAUGACUGCUUGCAGACAAAUAGGGACUCGGAGCAUCAAAGCAGCAACGAUGAAGAUUGGUUAAUAUACAACAGAAAGGAAAAAGAAAUUAUACUUAACAUUACAAACUGUGCAGACAAGAACAGCAUCUACACAUUUGGGGAUUUUUUUAACAUGGAUGUUGUUAUAAUAAACAGCACGGCAGAUGAUUUUGUUCCAAUUAAUGCAUCAGAGCUUUUUAAUGAUACUGAUGCACCACAAAUAUGGAUCCCAGAGGAGUCUUUCCUAAAUAUUUCAGACGCAGAGCGUAGAGUUGGUGUAGUUGUCUAUGAUUCAAAUGAGCAAUUCACU